CCUACGGGAGGCAGCAGUCGAGGAUCUUCGGCAAUGGGCGCAAGCCUGACCGAGCGACGCCGCGUGUGCGAUGAAGGCCUUCGGGUUGUAAAGCACUGUCGAGGGGGAGGAAGCUCCGUAAGGAGUUGACCUAUCCCUGGAGGAAGCACGGGCUAAGUUCGUGCCAGCAGCCGCGGUAAGACGAACCGUGCAAACGUUAUUCGGAAUCACUGGGCUUAAAGGGCGCGUAGGCGGGCUGGAUAGUCUGCGGUGAAAUCCCCCAGCUUAACUGGGGAACUGCCGUGGAUACUGCCAGUCUCGAGGAGGGUAGGGGCAUCUGGAACAGCCGGUGGAGCGGUGAAAUGCGUUGAUAUCGGCUGGAACUCCGGUGGCGAAGGCGAGAUGCUGGACCCUUUCUGACGCUGAGGCGCGAAAGCCAGGGGAGCGAACGGGAUUAGAUACCCCGGUAGUCCUGGCCCUAAACGAUGAGAACUGGAUAGCGACCCUGACAUAGGGCCGCUGUCGGAGCAAAAGUGUUAAGUUCUCCGCCUGGGGAGUAUGGUCGCAAGGCUGAAACUUAAAGGAAUUGACGG
rnacentral:rRNA from 1 species